rnacentral:rRNA from 1 species
GACAGAGGGGGCAAGCGUUGCUCGGAAUUACUGGGCGUAAAGGGCGCGUAGGCGGGAUGGCAAGUCGGUCGUGAAAUCCCUCGGCUCAACUGAGGAUCGUCGAUCGAUACUGCCGUUCUUGAGGAUUGCAGAGGAGACUGGAAUUCCCGGUGUAGCGGUGAAAUGUGUAGAGAUCGGGAGGAACACCGGUGGCGAAGGCGGGUCUCUGGGCAAUUCCUGACGCUGAGGCGCGAAAGCGUGGGGAGCAAGCGGG